ACAACCAACAUUCCACUGAACUGGAAGCUCGGACUUCUCCCUGGCCACCUUGGGCUUCUGAUGCCCUUAAUCCAACAGGCUAAGAGAAAGGAAUAACAGUGUUAGGAGGGGUGAUUGAUCCAGAUUCCAAUGGGGAAAUUGGAUUGCUUCUCCAGAGUGGAGGUGCAAGGGAUCCUUCAGGAUGGAAUGCAGGAGAUCCUUUAGGUUGUAUCUUGGUGCUACCAUGUCCUGUGAUUGAAGUCAAUGGGAAACUGCAGCAAUUCAAUCCAAGUGCCCAUUCAUGUACAAUGAUUCAAAAGACUUGAAUGCUGCUUCCUCUUGUGUGUGAGAGCAGGCUGUCAUGGCGUUAUCUCCAGGUGGAGGACCCACUGAAGUGAUCUUCCUAGACCCAAGUCACAGUGCUCACUGCAAGGAAGCUCAGCCUCACGGCACUCCCAAGCACGGUGCAAGAAGACUUCGAUUACUAGCAGCACUGAGAUGUUCAGCUGUGAGAUUCCGGACUACACUGGAGCUGGGUGCUCUCACCUGGCUCCAAGCAGGAGGAGACCAACACUGUCUAAAACACCCACUAAAGUCUCCGACAGUCCUGUAGUCUUGACCCCUAAAGCACUGUCUCCUCUCUGGCAAUUUCUAAAGGAAAACCUCACCCUCAGAGCUAUGCCAGCACUGCUCUGCCAUCCCCAGGGAAGCACUAAACGUCCUAAUGGCAUCACCACAUCAACUCAGAACCUUCCGUAUCAACAGCAAACAGCAAGCCCCAGGACUAGCUUAAAAAUCAGUUUCUUUUCCAUGAACUGUUAAAUACCACUUGUGCUUUAAAGAGACUUGAUUAUGGCAGGCUUUGAAAACAGUGCAGAAAUCUUGGCAGUUAGAGAGAAUGUUGGGCCUGGGGAGUACUGGACUAUGGCAAAGGAGCAGCUGGAGGUGAGAGGAGCCCUGCUCACCAGGGAUCUUCACACAGUGGCAGGCAGACAAGCCAGAGGUGCUGGCUCUUCAGGCUUGACGCCAACCUUUGCAUAACUCAUUAAAAUGUAUAUGGUCCUUUUAGAUACAUCUGAAAUCUAUCUAAUAAAAUCAAAGGUUUUUCUUUCCUGUUUUACACGUUCAUGUACACACAGGAAACAGUUCAGAUGUGGAAGUGAACUGGAGAAACAGUACAGCCCAGGAUCAAGUCAGCCACCAACUCUGAGCCUCCAUUUCCUACUCAUCUUUCAAACAAGUUCAUAAUUUGAGAGUGUGUAGUAGGGGAAAAACAGUGAUAAUAAAUGAAAAAGCCUUUUAUACGUUCUAAAAGGUGUCAUGAUACUUACUGAAAACAAAAGAUGUGUUCUCUUGCCAAUCUGUAUCUGUUGAUGGAAUACAUUAAAAAGCUGUGUGGGCUAGGAACUGAGGGAUUCUGGAAGGACAUACAUGCAAUAGAAAGAUUGAUAAACUUGCUUCAGCUGCCUGCAGUACUGCCCUCUCAAGACAAAAGAGAUGUUUUCCCAUUAUAAACAAGUGACUUGUUAAGUUUUCUUGUAACUGAAUCUCUACAAUACUGACUGCAGUUAUCCACAUCCAACAACAACAACAACCACAACAAAACGUUAGCAGGCCAGAAGAGCUGUUUCAGAGAUGCUCCUCCGAUGACCUGGGUUUGAGUCCCAGCACCCAUACAGUUGCUCACAAUCUUCAUUACUACAGCUCCGGGGGAUCUGACACCUUUUUCUGACUUGAGGUCAGCAGGCAUGCACAUGGUGCAGAAAACAUGCAAAAAAUUAUAAUAUUUAAAGAAAAGUCUUAGCAAACACAGACUCCUUCCUGCCAGCCAGUCAUCUGACACCCCAGAAACUAUUUCCACGGGACAGAGAUAGAUGGACAACCAAGAAGAUACUGGUGAAAGAACAGAGGUAUCCUAAAUGCAUUUUGGGCAUGACUUUCCCUUGAAAUCUAUGGUAACAUCUCAACUUUUCCUCACCCUUUAAUCCA